rnacentral:rRNA from 1 species
GUUUGAUUAUGGCUCAGGAUGAACGCUAGCGACAGGCUUAACACAUGCAAGUCGAGGGGCAGCGGGGCGGUCAGCUUGCUGAGCGCCGCCGGCGACCGGCGCACGGGUGAGUAACACGUAUGCAACCUGCCCGCCACAGGGGGAUAACCGGGAGAAAUCCCGACUAAUACCGCGUAGGCCCUGGGGAGGCAUCUCCCGAGGGGGAAAGCUAUCAAGCGGUGGCGGAUGGGCAUGCGGCGCAUUAGCUAGUUGGCGGGGCAACGGCCCACCAAGGCGACGAUGCGUAGGGGUUCUGAGAGGAAGGUCCCCCACAUUGGUACUGAGACACGGACCAAACUCCUACGGGAGGCAGCAGUGAGGAAUAUUGGUCAAUGGGCGGAAGCCUGAACCAGCCAAGUCGCGUGAGGGAAGACGGUCCUACGGAUUGUAAACCUCUUUUGUCGGGGAGCAAAGGGGCCACGCGUGGCAGGAUGAGCGUACCCGAAGAAAAAGCAUCGGCUAACUCCGUGCCAGCAGCCGCGGUAAUACGGAGGAUGCGAGCGUUAUCCGGAUUUAUUGGGUUUAAAGGGUGCGCAGGCGGCUUGACAAGUCAGCGGUAAAAAUUCGGGGCUCAACCCCGUCCGGCCGUUGAAACUGCCGAGCUGGAGUGCGACAGAGGAAUGCGGAAUGCGAGGUGUAGCGGUGAAAUGCAUAGAUAUCGCGCAGAACUCCGAUUGCGAAGGCAGCGUUCCAUGUCGUGACUGACGCUGAGGCACGAAAGCGUGGGGAUCGAACAGGAUUAGAUACCCUGGUAGUCCACGCAGUAAACGAUGAAUACUAGCUGUCCGGCCCGAGUGGGGGCUGGGCGGCACAGCGAAAGCGUUAAGUAUUCCACCUGGGGAGUACGCCGGCAACGGUGAAACUCAAAGGAAUUGACGGGGGCCCGCACAAGCGGAGGAACAUGUGGUUUAAUUCGAUGAUACGCGAGGAACCUUACCCGGGCUCAAACGGCAGGGGAAUGUCCGGGAAACCGGGCAGCCGCAAGGCCGCUGCCGAGGUGCUGCAUGGUUGUCGUCAGCUCGUGCCGUGAGGUGUCGGCUUAAGUGCCAUAACGAGCGCAACCCCCAUCUUCAGUUACUAACGGGUAGAGCCGAGGACUCUGGAGAGACUGCCGGCGCAAGCUGCGAGGAAGGCGGGGAUGACGUCAAAUCAGCACGGCCCUUACGUCCGGGGCGACACACGUGUUACAAUGGCGGGGCACAGAGGGGAGCCAUGCGGCGACGCAGAGCGGAUCCCGAAAACCCGUCUCAGUUCGGAUCGGAGUCUGCAACCCGACUCCGUGAAGCUGGAUUCGCUAGUAAUCGCGCAUCAGCCAUGGCGCGGUGAAUACGUUCCCGGGCCUUGUACACACCGCCCGUCAAGCCAUGGGAGCCUGGAGUACCUGAAGCUCGUGACCGGAAGGAGCGACCAAGG